UACGUAGGUGGCAAGCGUUGUCCGGAUUUACUGGGCGUAAAGGGUAUGCAGGCGGGUUUUUAAGUAGGAAGUGAAAGGUUGGAGCUCAACUCCGACACUGCUUUCUAUACUGGGAGCCUUGAGUGCCGGAGAGGAAGAGGGAACUGCACGUGUAGCGGUGAUAUGCGUUGAGAUGUGCAGGAACACCAAUGGCGAAAGCACUCUUCUGGACGGCCACUGACGCUGAGAUACGAAAGCCAAGGGAGCGAACAGG
rnacentral:rRNA from 1 species